GCCUACAUCGCAACGUCGAGUGGGCGGCCGCUCCUCCUUCACCUACAAUCAAAUAUUCAUGGAUCAGCCAGGCUACAACAAGAUUAUUAUGCAUCAUCUGCAUGAGUUUUGGAGCAGUAGCCAGCCCCAUCAGAUCGGCCAGAUCGCCAGUGCCUAGGAGCCUGCUCCGGCACCCGCGCCACCCUGAAAUUCCCCUGAACCAGCCAGCCACACGCAACUAUAAUUCUUCCCUGCACUUCUUCAGGGCCUAACGUCCAAAUUUCAGGGGUUAAGGUACCCCAACUCAGCAGAAUACGAGACCCAUAUUGCACAAUUGAAGAUGGUAUGGAGCCUUUUACUGGCUCAAAUCAACUAGAAAAAUAUGUCGGAUAAUGAUAAGAGAGGCUCUGUCGAACCUGGUACUCAAAACACAAAAAAUCUGCAAAUUACUUUUGUCGAUCCUACGUCUACUACAAUACCUACAUUGUUAUGCUCUACUAAUCUUAUGAUUUUCUAUCCUGGGUAAUGACCAGACAAAUGAUCCAUACAUGAUGACGCAUCAAGAUGUAGCUUUUGAAUCGUACCAACUUGGAUGCAAUACUCCCAUAGCAAAUACUGAUGAAUACAUGAAUUUUGUUCUUAAAGAAUGCAUGCAUCUCUAAGAUAAGGAAUUUAGCUCUAUACACGAUGACGCACCAAGAUGGGUAUUAAAGAGGGCUACAACUUAUUUGGAACAUGAUAUGUGUAUCCAGGUGCUCGACUCGCUAGGCCCAGGAAUGCACCGCAAAGACCUCACCGCUAUGCUGGAAGGCAAGGGCAAGAACACCUUACUGCUUGUGAAGGAAUGCUUAGUCCGUGGCUGCUGUAUGCACAGAUGCAUGCCCUCUUGCCGGCAAAACAGCAGCAACAGUCACCUCUGGAUUAUAUGACCGAUUUUAAAACAAAAUAGUUGUCAUUUUAGUGGACUCGGAAUUGAAUGAUGAUGAUGAUAUAAGAAAUCGAGACAUGGAAGAUGACGUUCAGGGCGCCACAAAUCACAUGGAUUAUAUGAUUCUUGGAUAGACCUUCUGAGAACCUCAAAACAUCAAAUACAUCAUCAGAAGUUGAGCUCAUCUCGCGAUCAUUUACCCUUUCAACGUCUCUCAAUCCAACAAAUGAUGACUUAUUGGAUGAACUUUCCUUUUUUAUCAGUAUGGUUGAUGAUGUCGCUCUACUAGAGUGAGACAUAUUUUUUAGUUCAUUUUGAAUUCCAAUAAAUUACUACUCUGAUGUCAUUAUAACUGAGAGAAUUCUGAUUUUACAUUAGUGAAUGGGUGAAAAGGUAUAAUCUUUAUCCUAUUAGUUUAAAUUGAGACAAGUAAAAAACAUACGAGAAAAUGAUGAAUACAUGGAUGUUGACUGAUUUAAUAUGUGUGUAGGGAUACUAGCGCGCCACGAAGUCCAGCUAUUCAGAGACAUUCCAUCUCACUAUAUCGAUCUAAACUUUUGUAUAAGUCACUAUAGUUACAUAUUACAUUUUGCCUCAUAUCACCAAUGUUUUCUUAUUCUUGUCUUAGUCGAUGUGCCAGUGUGCACGAGAUAGUCACCAUGACAAUGUGGACAUUGCUAAAAUAAAAAUUAGAUUCAGAAUAUGCGUUUUUAUUACAGAUUAUGAUAUGUGCCUUCGAUCACAAAUAUGUCACAUUUUUAGAAAUACAAUUUGAGUGACUUGACAACAUUGUAUAGCGAUCUAAAAUUUUGGAUCAAUAUUAUUUUAAUAUUGUAUCAUGUGAACUUAUUUUGUUUCAGAC